rnacentral:lncRNA from 1 species
CUCUGAUUUAUCUCAGCAGCAGAUGCGGGCCCACACACGGGUCUGAGUGCUGCCAGUAACACGGAAAGCCCUUACUCACCCAGGAAAAUACAAAUUCAAGUGUGUGGGCUUCUUUGGAAGGGGAAGACGGAACAGCACAGUCUGUGGCCUGGUGGAAGGGCACUGUACCGCUGCCGAGCUUGUGCUGAACUGCCAAGCCUGGCGCUGAAGGGGCAAGCCCAAAGACUGCAGGACAGGACCUCACAUAGCUCUGGUCUGUUAUCUGCCCCAGCUCAUUGGACAUCACGUGGAGAGACGUCUGUUCCUCUGAACCCUCUGCUUCCUCUGCUGCCCACUGAGGGACUGCCCACAGGAUCCAUCCUCACAGUGCCAGCUGAGCGGAUUGAUGGAGGUCCAUGUCCUCCUUGGUUCUGGAAACGGGAGCUAACUUGAGCCUUUUAAAGGAGCUUCAACCCUAUCUUGUUUCUGGGGAUGCUACAAGAUGGUAUUAUAUUAUCAAAGCUGCUCAAUUCACUCUGUUUUUGCUUCUGUCUCCCUUUUUUUUUCCUCCCUAUUCUCCAUUCUUCCUUCUCCUACUUUCCAUGUCGCAGAAACCCAUGAGGAAGCAGACUUACACAGUGUGAGAUGUUAAGAGGAACCUUAUGCCAUGCUGCUGUGGAGAACGUGUCAGAGAGAAAUGAGUAUGUCUGCAUGUUUGAGACCACUUGCACAGGAUGGGAAAUGCAGGAUCCUGGGGAUAGGAAAGCCUGAUGUCUCUCAGUCUCCAGGAGAAACAGCCAGCCUUGAUCCUCAUUCUGGGAAACAGCUGCUGCCAGGAUAAUUUUAUCCUCUUGCUUACACAAGAGAGAAGAUCUAUUUUACAAACAUCCCGUGAUCUCCUGGACCCAUAUAUGCGGUCAUUCCAGGUCGGAGUUGCAUCACCCAAGAGGCAGGUCCAUAUUCUGACCUGCUUUUAGCUGUCUCCCAGCGGUCUCUUCCUCCUUUCAGUGCUCUCAGACUGGGGACCAUAUCCUUUUGUCUCCUAAUUAAGCUGGUUAUCACCCUAUGCUCUUCUCCAUGACUUGCAUGACAUUACAGAAGUUUUGCUCAAUCACACUCAGUGCAAUGACUUACUCAUGCUCAACAACGGACAGCUAUGGAAAGAAAGUACUUGUUUCCCUCCCUGUAGGAUGUAAGGCACUAUAGAUAAGGAAUUCAUGCCCUUAUCAGUUCUUACCCUGAAAUAUUUGUCUUUUCCUAGUGCUAAACUUACUGUCUGCCUGAAUGCAAAUGAAAAGACACUAAUUAAUUAAGAGAUUUCCCAUCUCACUGUCUUCCUACAGACAGUGGCUGUCAGUAGACCACAUGGCACCUUUGGUUGGCUCCCAGCAACACUUCUCAAAUGAAAGUUUCUUAAACAAGAAAAUAUGGAGAAAGAAAAAAAAUGCUCAAAAUUCAUGUUUUAAAGAAUGGCAACAGGGGAAAACCUAAAAUGCUUCAUUUUGUAAUCAGGCAUUUUGCUAUUUUCUCGCUUGUUUGUUUGUAAUGACUUUCUGGCUCUGCAUUUUCUUCUGAAAACAUUCAAAAGAUUAAAAAUAAAAAUAAAAAUCCCCAGGCCUUUCAGAAGAGCUAAAAAUGAAAGCUGUUGGCAUUUCUGGAGAAGCAAAUUGACUUCAAAAGGGACAGAAAAUGGCUUAAAGUUGAAUGCAACUUUGUAUUUCAAGAAACGAAAUUCCUCUGAAAAUGCCAUUUCCUUCAGAUUUUUCCAGUGCCAAUUUCUUUUCCACAUUUUUAACUCCUUUUUUCCUCCAUGAGUUCGAUCAGCCCUUCUGCUCUGAGCUGUCACUGCUGCAUUGGACGCGCUGUGUAAAGCAGCCAAAGGAAAGAGCUCUCCUGAUCGCUUCAUGAGCCCUCCCCCGACCACUGAGGGUGCCCUGGAGGGUGGCUUUCAAGACACGUUUUUAUUUGGCUAGCAACGGUCACUUGGCAUCAGUGAAAUCAAAGUAUUCCCAUAUUUAACGCCGGGCUACGAGUGCUCACAAUCAGUGGGUUAAUCAUUAUGGAAAUACUGACUGAUCCUUGAGUCAAAUGUCAGGUGGUGCCAAAAAACAGAGCCCCAGGACAAAGGACAGAGAAAAGUCAGCUCCGAGUAAUGCUGCAAAUAAAACGGCUGUUACACAAGACGUGUCUUCCAACGCAGCUCUCGGGUCACAGCAAUAUCUGAGCCACAAAGCCCGCUCCUGUGAAACACAGUGCAUGCCAUCAGCUGGGGUCUGAUUCAUGCCAAAGUCUGGGGGUCUCAAAGCCCCGAGUGGGGAUCAACGUAUGCUCUACUAACAAGCUAUCCAGGCUGCUGGGGGCUAUUUAUAUAGAGAUUAGGGGGAAAAAAGAGCUUCAGAGUAAGCCGUGAAUAAACUCAGAUACUGGAAAUUAGAAGAGGGUUUCUAAGCAGCAGAGGAGAGGAGGUCUGGAGCGUGUCCAUUGCAGAUACAGCUCCAGUAAAAAACAACACCAGGUUUUAAGAUGAGCUGCAUCUGUCAAUGAAUCGAUGUACGUUUGGCACAAAUGGCUGUGAAGCUACUGCUGUUCCCCAGCUGGAUAGAAGCAGAAUGUUUGCUUUCCGUGCUCUACAAGAAGUGGCUCACCCUUACCUUGUCCAGCAUAAGAUUUUACUGCUCAGAACCCAGAACAAAGUCAAUCCUUCUUCAUGCCCUGAAUUACAUUCAGUGGUUCAGAGAGGAUCACAGCUUAUGGCCUCACAAGGGAUAAUGUCAUCUGGAAGAAAAAUGUGUGCUUCAGCAGCUUGUGCCACUGGCCAGAAGGUGCCCGGGAAACUGGGAAACCGGGAUGUGACCUCAGAAAAGGUCUCUGGGGAGCGUGCAGGGCUCAAGGUUGGCAGGUUCCUGCUGGCUGCAGUGCUCUCAGGGCAGCUGAUCUGUCUUGGCAGAGAGGGAUGCUGUCACCCAGCUUGAAGUCAGGGGUCUGGGUAAGCUGUGGUAAGAAGUACCAAGCCACGAGUAGAUAAGGAAAUUAAUUGAUUAGUAGCCUUGAUUAAUUAUCUCAAUCUUUGAGCCACAGUGCAAAGAAGAAGACUGUGAUGACAACAGCUCUCAAUUUUACAGCCAGUUCUGAUAGCAGAAAGUGGUGUCACAUUUGUGUUCUUCUUUCCAUCAAUUCCUAUUUUAUUUGGCAUCCAACUCCAGCUAGGUAACUUUCUCUUAGGCAGAAAACGUUGGUGGAACUAUCGUAUGCUAGAGCAAUGGGAGAUGUGGAGGAGGGACCCUGGGACAUCCUGGAGAAGGACAGCAUUUGGAAGAGUUUGGAUGCUUGAGUUUAGUGAAAUGAAGGCUGAAAAGGGUAAGACCAGGACUGGCUGCCACAGAUACAUCAGGAGCCUAAAUGCUGGGGACAAAGGAGAGCUAUUUAACUGAAGCACAAUGUUGGCACAAGAACAGCUGGGUACAGGCUGCCCAUGAAUACAUCUAGACAAUGUGAAUAGAUGGAAAACAGCGAUACAAAAAUAAAAUAAAAUAAAAAUCAAAACCAGACCAAGUCAUUUUCAGAUUAUAAAGCCAUAGAAAUGGAACUGAGAAAGCCUUCAGAGACCUACUCAUUUUGGGCUUUGUAACCUCGGGUAAUAUGACAACUGCUUCUAAAAGAGAAAAGCCAGAGACCAUUUUGUCAGCGUGGCCGCAAUGCUUUUCAUUCACAGCUUACUAAAAGGAAGAUGAUCUCCUGCAUGUUCCUCUUAUUAUUUCCCCCCUUUGGCUGUAUAUUCGCAUGUGAGAACAUGAAUUAAUAAAAUUAAUAAUUU